rnacentral:rRNA from 1 species
UACGGAGGGUGCGAGCGUUGUCCGGAAUCAUUGGGCGUAAAGGGCGCGUAGGUGGCCCGGCAAGCGUGCGGUGAAAGUCGGGGGCUCAACCCCCGAUCGGCCGUGCGAACUGCGGGGCUGGAGCACUGUAGAGGCAGGCGGAAUUCCGGGUGUAGCGGUGGAAUGCGUAGAGAUCCGGAAGAACACCGGUGGCGAAGGCGGCCUGCUGGGCAGUUUUGCUGACACUGAGGCGCGACAGCGUGGGGAGCAAACAAG